UGAGCAUGGAAUUCUUGCUCAGCUAAAGGGGUAAGGAUCAACGCUUAGGAAGGCUGAAGCAGCUAGAAUUAGCAGGGCACAGUACCAGAGAAGAGUUAGC